rnacentral:lncRNA from 1 species
GACAUCCGCCAUAUAUCUGGAAUAUUGUUCAGUGCAGCGAACAACAAAACUCACUCACUCACUUGCUCGUAAACCCGUCUUUUGUUGUUCAUUUGCAUUUGCUAGGUGCGCUGUACUUAUGGAUCUGUUGAUCGUAAUCAUGCCUUGGUUUGCACAACCACAAUACCUCUACAUACCGUAUCUGUCCACUAUGCUGACAGUGACGAGAACGAAUGUCUCUGCAGCUCUAACGCCAUACAUACUAAUAUUUGUAUAGCGCCAAUAUCCAGCUCAGCUGCUCAAGGCGCUUUGUUUUUCCCUCGAUCCUUGAAUAUCGAUCUCAGCGGCACCGUAUUUUCAAUAUUCAACUCCUUGGGGAUCAUACAACUCUUGCAGCCUUUGGGCGCACCAAGAUAAUGUGGCCAUCCUUACGAGGUAGCCAUUUACAGCUGGUUGGACUGGGACAUAUUGAACUACCAUAUUUUGUGAUCGGACAAUACAUGCACUUUUACACGCUUCUCUUAACCACGGACCUAACGCAUUGCCCACACUGAUGGGGUCACAGGAGUGUCACAGGGAAGGGUAUAAAUACAAGGAAUAUCCCAUCAUUGUUACUGUGUUGUGAUUUGUCUACUUCUGAAUACAGCCCACAAAAUGCGUUUGUUCCUUGUCCUCCUGCUUGUGGCCACAGUGAUGGUGUCAGAGUCUGAUGCCUGGAGACGUCUUCGUGUUCGAUGGCGAAGGGUUGGCAGAAUAGCUCUCAAAGCAAACGUGAUGUGGAAAGCCUUGAUGCAAACAUGGAUGGAACAAUUGACCAAUCAGAAGCUGAGACGAUAAUGAACAGACGAUCGGCCAUGGAAUUGCUUUCUUUUGCAGAUCA